ensembl:snoRNA LOC120097671 small nucleolar RNA SNORA70
AUAAAACUAAUUAAAAUAACUAAAUUUCUUCCCAAUAAGGACCUGGUGUGCAGUGGUGGCAAACAGCAGUCUCCUGGGUAGGGUAUGAAGCCUGUUGCCUAUACGAGUUGCCCUAUGGUAUCUUGGAGAGAAUU